UGCUCAGUGAGUUUUGGAGCAUGUAAGCUUCUAGGUCAGAAGAUGCCUAGGCUUAAUAUUGAAGUUAUUGAUGAGAGGGGACCUCCAGAUUCAAGGCCAGAAAGUUGUCCUGUAGAGAAGCUUUACAUUUAUAGGACUCUUGCUGGGCCUCGAUUUGACAUGCCUGGUUUUGUCUGGACCAUGGAUGAAGACUCUGCAUUGAGGUUUUCUUGACUCUCCCACUUCUGCAUAAAGCUCCUUUGCGGUGAAUAGAUUCAGUGGGUACAUACUUCAAAUGGUACUCAUUGUUGCACAUUUAAAUUUCUUUAGCUUGAUAUAAUUGCAGCCCAAUUGUCUGGGAACCAGGAAUGGACGGUAUACCGAGGCUUGAGAGUUCAAUUGCCAUCCCAUUUUACACUUUUCUGAGCUAUUGGUUUACCAAUUAGGGAUUAAUAAAGAUAUGAAGACUUGUAAUUGGUUGUAGCAUGCAUUAAUCAGACUUGUUGCUUAAUUCGAGAUAGUUGCCAUGUACACCAUUCACAGACUGGAAUGGUUGUGUUUUAUUUUACAAUUUUGGGAUGAACAUUAUUUUGUGGACUCAUUUGUGUCAUUUUUAGGCUCCUUGAGGAAUAAAAUCUCAGAUUCAAG
rnacentral:misc_RNA from 1 species